rnacentral:rRNA from 1 species
CCUACGGGAGGCAGCAGUGAGGAAUAUUGGACAAUGGACGAAAGUCUGAUCCAGCAAUACCGCGUGAAUGAUGAAGGCCCUAGGGUUGUAAAGUUCUUUUAAUAGGGAAGAUAAUGACGGUACCUAUAGAAAAAGCCCCGGCUAACUCCGUGCCAGCAGCCGCGGUAAGACGGAGGGGGCUAGCGUUAUUCGGAAUUACUGGGCGUAAAGGGCGCGUANGCGGAUUANUAAGUUGGGAGUGAAAGCCCGGGGCUUAACCUCGGAACUGCUUUCAAAACUGCUAGUCUUGAGUGAAGUAGGGGGUGAUGGAAUUCCUAGUGUAGAGGUGAAAUUCUUAGAUAUUANGAGGAACACCGGUGGCGAANGCGGUCACCUGGACUUCAACUGACGCUGAGGCGCGAAAGCGUGGGGAGCAAACAGGAUUANAUACCCUGGUAGUCCACGCCGUAAACGAUGAGUGCUANAUAUCGGGAAUUAAAUUUUCGGUUUCGCAGCUAACGCAUUAAGCACUCCGCCUGGGGACUACGAUCGCAAGAUUAAAACUCAAAGGAAUUGACGG